AUUGAACGCUGGCGGCAGGCCUAACACAUGCAAGUCGAGCGGAGCGGCGGACGGGUGAGUAAUGCCUAGGAAUCUGCCUGGUAGUGGGGGAUACCGUUCGUACACGGGCGCUAAUACCACAUACUAUCAGAUGAGCCUAGGUCGGAUUAGCUAGUUGGUGGGGUAAAGGCCUACCAAGCCGACGAUCCGUAACUGGUCUGAGAGGAUGAUCAGUCACACUGGAACUGAGACACGGUCCAGACUCCUACGGGAGGCAGCAGUGGGGAAUAGUGGACAAUGGGCGAAAGCCUGAUCCAGCCAUGCCGCGUGUGUGAAGAAGGUCUUCGGAUUGUAAAGCACUUUAAGUUGGGAGGCGUUACCAACAGAAUAAGCACCGGCUAACUUCGUGCCAGCAGCCGCGGUAAUUC
rnacentral:rRNA from 1 species